AAAAAUCCUUUAGCUAGAUAAGGGGCGGAUGUAGCCAAGUGGAUCAAGGCAGUGGAUUGUGAAUCCACCACGCGC
rnacentral:tRNA from 4 species